CUUCUGGUGAGAGAAAGCUGAGCAGAAUGGAUCUAAUCUGAUUCCUCCACCCAGAAGCCCUUAAAAUGCAGCUUUGUUUUAAGCCUUCUUGAAGAUUUGGGCUAGAUCUAGAAAAGAACCUCACCACGGAGGAUGUGCAAAGUACAACACGUGACCCCGGAGACGGAAGCUCUUCUCUACCUCCGUAAAGAUGAUCUCUGAUGAACAGACAUGAUCAUGCCUGGAGAACAGGGAUGGACAGUCCCGCUUCUGAAAGACCCUGUCUGGCUGAUGAUUCAUGGUGCGCCGGGCAGACCCCAGGCCAAGAGACCCCACCCACAGUACCUGAGUGCUCAGCUGGGAACCAGACCAGACCUCAAAACAGGUUUGCAGAAUUAAGAUGAGGAGCUGAGCUCAACACAGCCUCCGCAGCUCCCCAGGGCGGGCCUGAGCCGAGGGAGAGCCCAUGGCCAUCAGGGUGCUGGAAUGCAUGUCACACUGCAUUACGUGCAUUACGAUCCACGCUGCAAUGACAGCCCAGAGCGUGGAGAACCCAGAGAGGGUGGGGAGAUGGAAUCCCGGCGAGCCAGCGCUGGCAGGGACCACGGGGAGCAGCUGGUCCAGCCGCCGGUUUUCCAAGAGAGAAGACUAAGAAGUGAGUCACUUGCCCACAGCCACAGAGAGAAGGAGGGCAACGAGGCCGGCAGGUCAGCAGCGAGCAGUUAGUUCAAGGCCUUGAGGGCUUCCACUAACUUUGAAGGGCGAGGAUGGGCGGAGCUCUGGAGGCCGCCGGGGUUCCCAAGGUUACCACCCAACCCUGCCAACUUUCGCACCCCGCAAGGAGCAAGACCCCGCCCGCUCACCACCUGCCUGUGCAGCCAACGGGCCUCGCUGAGCUGCCCUGGGCCGCUCCCUCCAUUCACACAGUUGGCCCUCCCUCUCCCUGCCUCCCUUCGCCUACCCCACGAACUACUUCAUCCCUCUGGGCCGGCACUGUAGAAGCCCCAUUGUUCACAUCGACCUCCCAAUUAUCUCCUCUUUCCCUCUCCCUCUGCUCCUGCCCAGACCAGCCCCCCAGCAUUGACCUGGAUGCCUGCCACAGCCUCCUCCCUGGUCUCCGGCCUCCCACCUCUGCUCCUCGGUCUCCUCUACCCAGCCAGUAACUGCAGAGAGCACUAAAGCACAGUCCUGGCAUCUCACCCCCUUAACCCUGGCCACGGCUUCCCAGUGCCUCCAAGAUAAAGCACCAACACCUGAGGACAGCAGCUUGUUUUGAGAGUCCCCUCCAUUGAAACACGCACAUCUAAUUUGUCCUUCAGUUCGCUGGACUCCACGCUGAACGUGCCAUGCUCCAUUGCCCCGUGAGUAACUCCAUGCUCUUGCCGGUUUCACACGGCCUCUCAGAGCUGGAGCCUUUGUUCAGGAGCCCUGGGCAGCUUUCAGGAAGCUCUUGGGCUCAUCAGCUUCCUCUGGCUGAAGCCGCCCCAGUGGAAUCAUGGGGAUUUCUUACUUUGAAGGUGGGGCCACCCGCAGACUGUAACCGGCUGGUUCAAGAUCAAGGACUUCCCCAGGCCACCUGCCUCAGAGGCAAGAAAGGCUCAGCUGAGUCCCAGACACUCCUCGCUGUGGCCCCUCCUUCCUCCCUGCUGGGCAGGCCCCCCUCAAUUCUGUUUGCCAGCAGGGCCUAGUAACACUGAAAGACGAAAAGGGAAAUAAAAUAAACACAAUUAAUAGGCUAAAGGUUACUGAAUAAAGUGGCAGCAGUAAAUAAAUUGACUACUGUGCAAAUACAAAGACAUGAAGACAUGAAACCCCUGCUCUAAAUGACCACUCACCAAGAGCAAGGCCUGGGCUGGAGGCAGGGAGCACCUCCCUAAGGAGCACUCCCUCUUUCCCGGAGUGAGUCCUCCUUCUAGAUGGAAUUCAGUCCGGGUUCCUCUUGAGCCACAGUCCCUGUUGGGGCCUAUCUCAGUGGACUCAAGAUCCUGAACUUCUUCCAGAUUGCUGACUACACAUUUGAGUCACCCAGAGAUUAAAAGAAAAAACAAAUAAUUUCCCAGUGAUCAGGAGUAAAUCAGCUGGGGCAGGGUUGGUGCUAUGAAUGACCACACUGAUUUGUACACUUCACUGAUUUGUAGUGUUUGCUAUUUCCGUCGUGUAAAUACUGCCAACAUGGACAAUCUUCAGUUGCUAAUGGUUUACUAACUGGCUUGUAAAUGAAUUCAUUCAGUAUUCAAGAAAAUGGCACUACAUUUA
rnacentral:lncRNA from 1 species